GAUGAACGCUGGCGGCGUGCCUAAUACAUGCAAGUCGAGCGAACAGACGAGGAGCUUGCUCCUCUGACGUUAGCGGCGGACGGGUGAGUAACACGUGGAUAACCUACCUAUAAGACUGGGAUAACUUCGGGAAACCGGAGCUAAUACCGGAUAAUAUAUUGAACCGCAUGGUUCAAUAGUGAAAGACGGUUUUGCUGUCACUUAUAGAUGGAUCCGCGCCGCAUUAGCUAGUUGGUAAGGUAACGGCUUACCAAGGCAACGAUGCGUAGCCGACCUGAGAGGGUGAUCAGCCACACUGGAACUGAGACACGGUCCAGACUCCUACGGGAGGCAGCAGUAGGGACUCUUCCGCAAUGGGCGAAAGCCUGACGGAGCAACGCCGCGUGAGUGAUGAAGGUCUUCGGAUCGUAAAACUCUGUUAUUAGGGAAGAACAAAUGUGUAAGUAACUAUGCACGUCUUGACGGUACCUAAUCAGAAAGCCACGGCUAACUACGUG
rnacentral:rRNA from 1 species